UUUUGCGUCCGGCUUUUUAUCUAUGAUGCCAUUACCAACGGCAUGUAACAGGUGAGUCUUACCCAGCCCGGUGCCGCCAUA
rnacentral:antisense_RNA from 1 species